GAGUAGUUACCGUAGGCCUUGGAAAAGACUCAUUGCUAUGCUGGCUUCAGGUCUGACAUGAUGCUCUCUCUGCCAGAGCAGUAGGACACUCUGGAAGUGUAGGGCACUGUACUCUUCCAAAGGAGGACAAAGUUGGCUCAUAAAUGUCCCCCUCCUAGGCACAAUUUUGAGAGAUGGCCUACAAGUUUCCUCAGAGGGUCUCCCAGAGAGAUGGAGCCCCAAUUGUCCCAGUGUUAAACAACUCAGGAAUGCUCUUUUAUCAGGUUU
rnacentral:lncRNA from 10 species